rnacentral:misc_RNA from 1 species
GGCUGGGAUUGUGGAAGAGUUACUGGGUGGGGAUGGUGGUGGGGUGAUCGGGUUUGUUGAUGAGUUGUUCUUGGAGUGUCAGAAUGAGUGGCAGAAGGGGAGUAAGAGCAGAAGGGCGUAUUGGCAAUGUGUGAAUUUGUAUGGGAGGCUCAGGGAUGAAGGUGUUGCUGUCCAUCAAUGGUGGGGGUGAAGGUUGGAGACAGGUAGGGAGGAGCAACCAUUGUGGUUGCACUUCAGUGGUGGGUGUUGACUGUCUGUGUGGCUUUGCUUAAUGAGUGUGUUAGGAUUGAGUUAAUAAUAAGAGCUCAGUUGAAGUGCUGAGUGAGGGGGUCAAUGUGGUGUCUGUCAGUGGAGUGGGUUGUUUUAUUUAUGUGGUGUUGG